GUUUCUCAUGAUUGAAAUACUAGUUGAUGUUUAAAAAGAUAAGUUGGCAUCAGAAAAGAAGUAGAGAAUUACCAUUUGAGUUUUUCCCUCCUUUGUUAAGUUGCUUAGACUAUGGUGAUGACUUAGCCAACUCAGUCUACGAAAAUGUGUUCACUUUAUUCGGUUUUGUUGGAUCUAGUUGUAGUUUGAGGAAUCUAUCUUUCCCAAGUCACUCUGUAUUACUAAGCUUUGGUGAAAAGUAGUUACGUAUAGAAUCUAGAAUGGUGAACUCAAUGUUUUCUAAAAUGAACUUUUAUUAAGUUGUGUGAAAAUGUACUAAUUUUUCAAAUUUCAUUUUAAUGGGAAAUGUGCAUAGUUUUGGUGAUCAUACUUUUUUCCUAACCAAAAAGCAAACCAAUUCUAAAGGUUCCGUUGUAAUUGCUGAGAAGAAUGAAAUUGCAGUGAUUACGUUCCCUAGUCGCUGGAACCUUUGGUAGUUUCCUACAUGAACCAACAGCACUUAGCUUUGUUUCUAUCUGUAGUUUACUCACCAGUGAUGUCAAUGCAGAAAUUGCAAAUGGCGAUGAACAGGUAAAAGCUUGUGGCAUUUGAAUUUGCAAUUACACAGAUGGUUAGUUUCCAACGGGAAGCAAAGAAUUCGCUGAGCACAUUGUUUAUACUGUUUUUACUAUUUAUGCAGCAGAGUGCCAUUAUUUUCUCCUUUAUCAGAUUUUCUAUUCUGAUAUAUUGGUGUUCUCUAAUAUCAAUUGUAGUAAUAAUUUACUACUUUAAAGUUGCUUUGCUCAUUUUCAAUUUGCAAAUGGCUUUUUUCUUGCCGUACCUUUGGGCAGCAUAUUUCUGGUCAUGAAUUGAGAGCCCUUUUAGUAAUCUUAAUACAUGUAGAAAAUUUGAACACUGCAAACAUGAGAAUUUGGUUAUCAUGAAAUCUCCUAUUGUGUCUACUGCCUGCUAAACCGGUGUUCUCAAAGGCGAUCACCAUUGCACCUUUGGCGAGAGGCGAGGCGAGUCAGACACUUGUCUCUGUUUGUCGCCUUUCGCCAUCCAAAGAAUUCUAGGAGUCAACCCUACUUAGAUUUUGUUCUUAAGUGACAUUCAUUCUCUAAUAUCAAGGACUCAUUAGAAUUUUAAGAAGUGAAUAUGCCCGUAGAGUCUAAUGACACCUUUGAUCUGAACUUUAAGGGUUUAAAUUGUGCAAGUUUUUUACUUUUAUUGGCGGGUUGAAAUGAUCAUCUCCAACAGUAAGCAGAUGAUCUACUAUAAGAAUUCAUGCCUUUUCUAUUGAUUCAUAGAUGUCACCUUCAGCGGAGGGCUUCUUCUCAUUUCUGGAAAAUACCGACACAGUUUUCUAUCAGAACUCUUAUGUUUGAAAAAUGAUUUAUUUAAAUUGAUUAUUGAGCCAAACAGUGUUGUUUAUUUGUGUGUGUGACAGUUCAGAAGCCACAAAAGAUCGGGCAAAGGUGUUGUUCUAAUGACAGAGAUCCUGGCCUCUUUAAUUUUGGUCUCUUCACCAAGUUUUAUGUUUCAAACACUCACUAGAAAGUCCACACUACAAGGUCAUAAUGUGAUAAAUUUUACCCGUAUAUGCUUUACACAGGAAGUGAAAUCUUUAACCUCAUAUUGUUUGGCCAACUAAUAGUUGGUUGGACUAAGAAGAACCAUUUCUGAAAUAAAGACCAAGUAAUUGCUUCUCAGUGCAAUUUCAACCUGAUUAUUUCUUUGUAGGUAGAUGGGGGAUCAGACAUUGAACAUGUAUUAGUUAGUCCCGAGAUUAUUUAUCCCACCAUUUAUGAUUACUAAUCCCAUGGGAUCACUUGAUCCCAUCCCCGAUACCAAACAACCCCUCAGGGUAGCAAAACAUUCAUGCUCACGUCUGAAUGGUCUUAGCGUUCAUGUUAGCAUCUCUGCUACCGUGGCUUCAUAACAAACCUGGUUUUUAUCUAGUUUUGAGUUGCUCCAAUGUGGAUGGAUGAAGGAUUAUGUGGUUACUUAACAAAGGUAGACGAAUUUUUUUGUUGAAUCCAGUCAACAGACGAUUUUUGGGCCACCUAGCUACUAUGGUUUGAAUUUAUUUGCAGCUGGCUUGAACUCUCCUUGUAUUUUUUUUUUAUAUUAUGUGCUUGUAGAGCAUGUGGAUAAACAGAACAGAUAGAAUAUAAGUGCAUCUCUCUCUUUUUUUUCUAACACUUAUUCAGGUAAUACCUGUCUAUAUUUGCUGUCCGAUUGUAGUUCAGCAGAUAUACAUAUCCAAUUAGAAGCAUCAGUAAGAUGGAUCUUCGAACAUUUCUGAAAUGGUUUGCCAUUCAUCUUUGUUACUCAUUCUCGACAAAGAUUGUAGCUUCACUACCUACUGCUGAAGUGGAACCUAUACGUUCAAAUUAUAGUCAGGUAUUGAUUCAGUGUCCUGCCUAUUUUCGGUUUCUAAUGCCUUUUCCAGUCUUGCGGAUGAUCAUUAUUUCCUGUUUCUAGCAUUUUCGUAUCCUUCACUAUGGAGAGUUCUCAUUCUGCAUUACAAUAUUUGUGAAACAACUGUAUGAAAUGGAUAAGGGUAUGACCUAUGAUGAACUUUCAGUGUUGGAAGGUUGUGGAAGAUUUUUUGCUGUCCGUAUCAAUGUUUAAGUUACAGAUUGGGCACAAAGUUGACGCGUGCAGAGGUGGCUGACAAAGUGAAGUACUUCUUUAAGUACUAUUCCAUUCCAUCAAUAGACGGACAAAGGAGGCUUGCUCAAGUGGUUCGACUCACUCUGGAGAGUAAGCACCCGUACUGAAUGCCUACUCGUUCCCAUAUCCAUGUACCUUAAAGCCAAGUAGUCAGCGCCAGUAUAGAGGAUUUAGACAGUGUAAUGCUUUUGUUCUGUGUUUCAUACUUUCAUUAGAGAAGCAUCAUCAUCAUCAUUUACGCCUCAAUCCCAAGCAAGUUGAUGUCAACUAUGUAGGUUUCUACGUAAGAUUUGUUUAUCAGAGAAUGCAUAUAAUGUUUCUCGUCUUGCAGAGUUACGUUAUUCACCCAAAAAGACAACAUAAGGUUUGAUCUGCGACAGCUUCUGUACAAAGUUAGCCAGCCUUAUCAACUUUGAAAGAUUGAUAAGCUUGCUGGUGAAUGGUGAUAGAGAAAUGGGUGUUGUAGCAACUGGCUUGGGCGAUUAAAGGGCUCGCGUUUCAUUCUUAGCUCAACGUGCAGCUGAAUAGGAGAAACUGAAUUUUAAAUGUUUUUCAAGAGAUCUUCAUUUUUACGCACAAGAGAUGUGAAAAUGUCACUUUUUUCUUUUGUUGCUCAUAUUGUAAGUGGCCAAGAUUGAUACAAAACAAGUAAACAACUACUAAACCCAAGACCAACCAAGUAAUUUAUUUAACUUUUUAUACAUUAUAAGUUUCUUUUUAAGCAUGUUUUUUACC